rnacentral:rRNA from 1 species
CAGCAGCCGCGGUAAUACGGAGGAUCCGAGCGUUAUCCGGAUUUAUUGGGUUUAAAGGGAGCGUAGGUGGACAGUUAAGUCAGUUGUGAAAGUUUGCGGCUCAACCGUAAAAUUGCAGUUGAUACUGGCUGUCUUGAGUACAGUAGAGGUGGGCGGAAUUCGUGGUGUAGCGGUGAAAUGCUUAGAUAUCACGAAGAACUCCGAUUGCGAAGGCAGCUCACUGGACUGCAACUGACACCGAUGCUCGAAAGUGUGGGUAUCAAACAGGAUUAGAUACCCUGGUAGUCCACACAGUAAACGAUGAAUACUCGCUGUUUGCGAUAUACAGUAAGCGGCCAAGCGAAAGCAUUAAGUAUUCCACCUGGGGAGU